AACGAACGCUGGUGGUAUGCUUAACACAUGCAAGUCGAACGAAAUAUGGCAACAUAUUUAGUGGCAAACGGGUGAGUAAUGCGUAGGAACAUGCCUGUAGGUACGGAAUAACCACUGGAAACGGUGGCUAAUACCGUAUAUUCCCUAAGGGGGAAAGAUUUAUCGCCUACAGAGUGGCCUGCGUCAGAUUAGGUAGUUGGUGGGGUAAUAGCCUACCAAGCCUGCGAUCUGUAACUGGUCUGAGAGGAUGAUCAGUCACACUAGGACUUAGACACGGCCUAGACUCCUACGGGAGGCAGCAGUGAGGAAUUUUGGACAAUGGGGGCAACCCUGAUCCAGCAAUACCACGUGAGUGAAGAAAGCCUUCGGGUUGUAAAGCUCUUUUAAUGGGAAAGAUUAUGACGGUACCCAUAGAAUAAGCACCGGCUAACUCUG
rnacentral:rRNA from 1 species